rfam:Lactococcus lactis subsp. cremoris TIFN6 scaffold97.1_0, whole genome shotgun sequence.
UAGAAAGUUACUCCUUUGUGAGUGAUUUUAAGGUGGCAUAGAGAAAGUCAUUUCGCGCUGAAUUUUCUCUAUGCUUUUAUUAUAACA